rnacentral:lncRNA from 10 species
CCUCUCCAGGUACACAUAUUUCCUGCUACUGAAUGGCUUAGACUGGGAUUUGCAAGGAACUACGAAGUCCAAGACCUUUGCCUUUCUUUUAGAAGAAGGCACCAGCUGGUUCUCCAAUGUUGAAGGUCUUCUCCAGAGAUACCUUAAGGUGUGGGGAGAUUACAACUUGCUCAAGGUCUCAUAGCUAGAAGAUGUCAGAGUGAUAACUCAAACCAUGUCACAUGACUCUAAGCCCAAAGCAGCCUCUAGAAGGUUGUUUGAUCUUCUGAUGGAAGCACAAAUCACCAUUCCAACAUGAAAGAUGGAGAAACUUAAGUCUAGAGAGAUUUAAAGGACUUGUCAAAGGCAAUGAAACAAGUGGAACUCUGAAAGCCACAUGUUGAGAUGGCCCCAUUACAGGAUGGAGAGCACCUGAACCCCCAAGUUAUGGACUAGAAGAAGACAGUUGCCCUGGAAAAUCAUCUGACCCACAUUGGACUUUAUGUGAGGGGGAAAUAAACCUUUAUUAUGUUAAGCUACACAAUAAUAAAUAACAA